AACGAACGCUGGCGGCAGGCUUAACACAUGCAAGUCGAGCGCCCCGCAAGGGGAGCGGCAGACGGGUGAGUAACGCGUGGGAAUCUACCCAUCACUACGGAACAACUCCGGGAAACUGGAGCUAAUACCGUAUACGUCCUUCGGGAGAAAGAUUUAUCGGUGAUGGAUGAGCCCGCGUUGGAUUAGCUAGUUGGUGGGGUAAUGGCCCACAAAGGGGACGAUCCAUAGCUGGUCUGAGAGGAUGAUCAGCCACACUGGGACUGAGACACGGCCAGACUCCUACGGGAGGCAGCAGUGGGGAAUAUUGGACAAUGGGCGCAAGCCUGAUCCAGCCAUGCCGCGUGAGUGAUGAAGGCCCUAGGGUUGUAAAGCUCUUUCACCGGUGAAGAUAAUGACGGUAACCGGAGAAGAAGCCCCGGCUAACUUCGUGCCAGCAGCCGCGGUAA
rnacentral:rRNA from 1 species